rnacentral:misc_RNA from 1 species
CUGAAAGAAAUAAGGGUUUUGAGACUGCGUUCAAAUGAGAACGUGUGCUCGACCCUUCCUCUUUUCAUCCACACACACCUUUGUGCACUAUGGGACGCAAGUCCCCAUUUUCACAUUAAGAACCUAGUUAUAUGCAUGUUUUUUAUAUACUCUAAGGAGUAAAUA